rnacentral:misc_RNA from 1 species
GAUGAAGAACGUAGCGAAAUGCGAUAAGUAAUGUGAAUUGCAGAAUUCAGUGAAUCAUCGAAUCUUUGAACGCUCAUUGCGUCCCUUGGUAUUCCGAGGGGCAUGCCUGUUCGAGCGUCAUUAUAACCCCUCAAGCUCAGCUUGGUGUUGGGGCCUGCUGCACUGGCAGCCCUUAAAAUCAGUGGCGGCGCCAUCUGGCUCUAAGCGUAGUAAUUCUUCUCGCUAUGGAGUCCUGGUGGAUGCUUGCCAUCAACCCCCAAUUUUUCUAUGGUUGACCUCGGAUCAGGUAGGGAUACCCGCUGAACUUAAGCAUAUCAAUAAGCGGAGGA